rnacentral:rRNA from 1 species
AUGUGGUGGGAGGAGGUGAGGAGGAGGGAACGCGGGGAGCUGCGCGCGCGGCGCUUCGAGGCCCUCGCCCGCUCGCGCCGCGCCGCCUCGCUCGCGCUCUCCAACCGCAAGGAGAUCGCGACCCCGCACCUCGGCGCCGUCAACUCCCUCCAGGUUGAUUUGACAGAGGGGAGGUACCUGCUCUCGGGGGCGUCGGACGGGUCGGCCGCCGUCUUCGAUCUGAAGGACGCGACGGAGUACGAGGCCGGGUUCAUCGCCAAGCACAGGAGCAUUCUGCUCGUGGACAGGCAGCAUCAGCAUGGCCACAAGUUCACCGUCUCCAAGGCCAUCUGGUAUCCUGUGGACACCGGGCUGUUCGUCACGGCGUCCUUUGAUAACUAUGUCAAAGUGUGGGAUACCAAUUCCACUCAAGUGGUCAUGGAUUUUAAGAUGCCCGGAAAAGUGUACAGUGCUGCAAUGUCUCCAAUUGCAACAACGCAUAUGCUCAUCGCUACCGGAAGCGCAGACGUUCAGAUCCGUUUGUGUGAUAUUGCUUCCGGAGCCUUUACUCACACGUUGUCCGGUCAUCAUGAUGGUAUCAUGUCUUUGGAGUGGUCUACCUCAAGCGAGUGGAUCCUAAUGAGUGGUGGCUGCGACGGGGCGAUACGUUUUUGGGACAUAAGACGAGCUGGAUGCUUCCUUAUCCUUGAUCAGUUACGGUCUCAGCUAGGAAGACGGCCUCCCAUUAUUGAUAGCACCACGGACAACCAGCAUCAGAAGAACUUAGGACGUUCAUCUUCAUCAAAGAGUUACUCGGUUCAGCAGAGGACAGGCAAUCAUAAGAAGCAGUCCAAAGGACUACGCAAAAGUCUAACCAUGGUACGUGGACAUACGCAACAGAAAGUGCAUCCCGGUAUGUCAUCCAGUCAAAAUCGUAAAACAGCUCAUUAUGGUGCUGUUACAGGAUUAAGAACAACAACAGAUGGGAUGCACCUUCUUAGCUCAGGAUCUGAUUCUCGUUUAAGACUCUGGGAUAUCGAUUCAGGCUGCAAUACUUUGGUCAAUUUUGAAGCCAUGCGAUUGCAAACUAGCAAGCCACUGCAAUUAGCUGUCACUGAUGAUCCAUCACUUGUUUUCAUUCCAUGCAUGUCAAGCAUCAAGGCAUACAAUACAUGGUCUGGUACGACAUUUCAAACAUUCCGUGGGCAUUAUGACCAUGUAAAUUGCUGCUACUAUAACUCACAAGACCAAGAACUCUAUACUGGUAGCAAUGAUCGACAAAUUCUUGUGUGGUCUCCAUCGACUCCUGCUUUGACUGAAAUGGAAGACGAUGACAAGCGGCAAGAGGGUUUUGCAGCUGAUGAGGAUAACUGGAGUGACUGA